AAAGCUUUAAGUUAAUAAUUAAAACUUUUAACCUUCAAAGUUAAAAAUACAUAAGUAUGUGUAAGCUUUA
rnacentral:tRNA from 1 species